rnacentral:rRNA from 1 species
AUUGAACGCUGGCGGCAGGCCUAACACAUGCAAGUCGAACGAGUGGCGGACGGGUGAGUAAUGUCUGGGAAACUGCCUGAUGGAGGGGGAAAACUACUGGAAACGGUAGCUAAUAACGCAUACCAUCAGAUGUGCCCAGAUGGGAUUAGCGUGUUGGGGGGGUAAAGGCCUACCAAGGCGACGAUCCGUAACUGUUCUGAGAGGAUGAUCAGUCACACUGGAACUGAGACACGGUCCAGACUCCUACGGGAGGAAGCAGUGGGGAAUAUUGCACAAUGGGCGCAAGCCUGAUGCAGCCAUGCCGCGUGUAUGAAGAAGGCCUUCGGGUUGUAAAGUACUUUCAGCGGGGAGGCGUUACCCGCAUAAGAAGCACCGGCUAACUCCGUGCCAGCAGCCGCGGUAAUUC